rnacentral:rRNA from 1 species
AGAGCUCGUAGGCGGUGUGUCGCGUCGGCCGUGAAAACCUGGGGCUUAACUCCGGGCGUGCGGUCGAUACGGGCAUCACUAGAGUUCGGCAGGGGAGACUGGAAUUCCUGGUGUAGCGGUGAAAUGCGCAGAUAUCAGGAGGAACACCGGUGGCGAAGGCGAGUCUCUGGGCCGAUACUGACGCUGAGGAGCGAAAGCAUGGGUAGCGAACAGGAUUAGAUACCCUGGUAGUCCAUGCCGUAAACGUUGGGCGCUAGGUGUGGGGUCCAUUCCACGGGUUCCGUGCCGCAGCUAACGCAUUAAGCGCCCCGCCUGGGGAGUACGGCCGCAAGGCUCAUACUCCAAGGCAGUGACGUGGGCCCGCACAAGCGGCGGAGCAUGUGGAUUAAUUCGAUGCAACGCGAAGAACCUUACCUGGGUUUGACAUGCACCAGACGCGUCCAGAGAUGGGCGUUCCCUUGUGGUUGGUGUGCAGGUGGUGCAUGGCUGUCGUCAGCUCGUGUCGUGAGAUGUUGGGUUAAGUCCCGCAACGAGCGCAACCCUUGUCCUAUGUUGCCAGCGGGUUAUGCCGGGGACUCAUGGGAGACUGCCGGGGUCAACUCGGAGGAAGGUGGGGAUGACGUCAAGUCAUCAUGCCCCUUAUGUCCAGGGCUUCACACAUGCUACAAUGGCCGGUACAGAGGGCUGCGAAACCGUGAGGUGGAGCGAAUCUCGUAAAGCCGGUCUCAGUUCGGAUCGGGGUCUGCAACUCGACCCCGUGAAGUCGGAGUCGCUAGUAAUCGCAGAUCA